rnacentral:rRNA from 1 species
UCGAGAAUUUUUGACAAUGGGGGAAACCCUGAUCGAGCGACGCCGCGUGGAGGAUGAAGGUCUUCGGGUUGUAAACUCCUGUCAUUUGGGAACAAGGUGCGCGCGUUAACUGCGCGCGUAUUGAUAGUACCAGAAGAGGAAGGGACGGCUAACUCUGUGCCAGCAGCCGCGGUAAUACAGAGGUCUCAAGCGUUGUUCGGAUUCAUUGGGCGUAAAGGGUGUGUAGGUGGCGCCGUAAGUCGGGUGUGAAAUUUCGGAGCUUAACUCCGAAACUGCAUUCGAUACUGCGGUGCUUGAGGACUGGAGAGGAGACUGGAAUUUACGGUGUAGCAGUGAAAUGCGUAGAUAUCGUAAGGAAGACCAGUGGCGAAGGCGGGUCUCUGGACAGUUCCUGACACUGAGACACGAAGGCCAGGGGAGCAAACG